ensembl:lncRNA
GGGGGGGCAUAAAAUGGGGGGGGGUUUAAGGGGACAUUGCAGAGCUUUUUGGGGGGGUCCCAUAAAAAUGGGGGGGGCUCUUAAAGGGCCAUGGGGGGGUUUGGGGGGGCAAUAAAAUGGGGGGGGGUUUAAAGGGACAUUGCGGAGCUUUUUGGGGGGUCCCCUAAAAAUGGGGGGGCUCUUAAAGGGCCAUUGGGGGGGUUUGGGGGGGCAAUAAAAUGGGGGGGGGGUUAAGGAGACAUUGUGGAGUUUUAGGGGGGGUCCCCCUAAAAAUGAGGGGGGCUCUUAAAGGGCCACGGGGGAUUUAUUUUGGGGGGUCCCCAAAAAUGGGAGGGGGGGGGAUUUAAAGGGACAUUGCAGAGUUUUUGGGGGGUCCCCUAAAAAUGAGGGGGCUCUUAAAGGGCCACGGGGGAUUUAUUUUGGGGGGGUCCCCAAAAAUGGGGGGGGGUUAAGGAUAUGGGGGAUUUAUAUGGGGGGGGGGGUCAAUAGAAUGGGGGGGGUCUCAAAGGGCCAUAUGGGAUCGGGUUUAUAGGGUUACGGGAUUGGGAUUAUGGCGUUAUGGGAUUAUGGGGUGGAUUAUGGGAUUAUGGGGUGGAUUAUAGGAUUAUAGGGUGGAUUAUGGGAUUAUGGGGUGGGAUUAUGGGAUUAUGGGGUAGGAUUAUGGGAUUAUGGGGUGGGAUAAUGGGAAUAUGGGGUGGGAUUAUGGGAUUAUGGGGUGGAUUAUGGGAUUAUGGGGGGGUUAUGGAUUAUGGGGUGGGAUUAUGGGAUUAUGGGGUGGGAUUAUGGUAUUAUGGGAUGGCAUUUCCUCGACGAGCUCCAGAUUUGAGUCCAUUUUUGUGCCCUGAGGCCGAUUUCUGUGGCCCGAAACGGGGGGAAAACGAACCACGGGGUCGGGAUUAUGGGGUCGCGAUUGGGAUUAUGGGGUCGGGAUUGGGAUUAUGGGAUUACAGGGUGGGAUUGUGGUAUUAUGGGAUGGCAUUUUGUCCAUAAACUCCGCAUUUGAGUCCAUUUUUGUGCCCUGAGGCCCAUUUCCGUGACCCGGGAUCGGGAUUAUGGGGUCGAGAUUAUGGGAUUAUGGGGUCGGGAUUGGGAUUAUGGGAUUACAGAACGGGAUUAUGAUAUUAUGGGAUGGCAUUUCCUCAACGAGCUCCAGAUUUGAGUCCAUUUUUGUGCCCUGAGGCCGAUUUCUGUGGCCCGAAAGGGGGGAAACGAACCACGGGGUCGGGAUUAUGGGGUCGCGAUUGGGAUUAUGGGGUCGGGAUUGGGAUUAUGGGAUUACAGAAUGGGAUUGUGGUAUUAUGGGAUGGCAAUUCGCCUAUAAACUCCGCAUUUGAGUCCAUUUUUGUGCCCUGAAGGCA